CACUGCAUGACCAAAUCGCAAUAAGGAUUUUAAAAAGGGAUCAUUCUAAACUUAGGUUUUCAUUCAAAAACGAGUCUUCUAUAACUUUGAGUGUUUUGUGUGCUUUUUCUCAGAUGUGAAGCCUAUCUAACUUUCAUAUAUCGGGUCUUUUCAAAAUAUCUGAUGUAACUGCCUAUUUUUGUCCUUUUGACCCUCCUUGAACUCUGUGAUUAAGCAUUCAUAACUGUUCCUGCCUGAAUUCUGCAAUGAACGGAGGACAAGUGUGUGUUCCAUGUUGGAGAUACUGAUUCAUUCAGCACAUUUUAUUUCUGAUCAGCUGACACGACGAUGGAGUCUCAAAGUCAACCAUCUUUUGUUAUGGGAGCGGGUUACAGGACAUACCCCCUGCAUCACCCUUGACCACUAUUGGUGGGGUAGUUAGUCUUAUUACUACAAUUGUUCCUGGAGCUGGAUAAUAGCAUUCUUCUUUGGCCAUCUGAUUAUAGCAAGUGUCCUUCAGACAAGAGCUCUUAGAGUCACUCAGGGCUCCCAACCUGUGCUACACAGAAGCCAGAACCGACAUAGUGAGACUCAAGCCCACACCAGAGAUCACAGCAUUAGUCUGUCUGGGGACCAAAGUCCCCAGGAGAAGACAGACACUGCAGUUGGGCAGGACAUCGCAGCACCUCAAGACCACCUCCCACUAGCUGAGGGCAAAGACUUCUCUUUGGGAAAAACUGCUUUUUCACUACACAGACACAUCCCUGCUGUGUAGCCUGAACUUCGUUCCGUCUAGUGGACGUUUUUGUUGCUGUUCUCAUUUACCAUGUUGACUUUUUGCAGUUUUCAUUUCUUGUUUUCUAAAUAUCGAUGAUUUUGAGAUAAUCGAUAGGGCCCCCCUUUCACAGAAUGUGGCAAAUGCUGGGUCUCCCUUCUAACCACUAUAGACCAAGACAGGCAA